CUCGAGGCCAGAUCUUUCCGGUUGAUCCUGCCGGACCUGACUGCUAUCGGAUUGAUACUAAGCCAUGCGAGUCAUUGUAGCAAUACAAGGCAGACGGCUCAGUAACGUGUAGUCAAUCUACCCUAUGGACGUGGAUAACCUCGGGAAACUGAGAAUAAUACACGAUAGAACAUUAUGCCUGGAAUGGUUUAUGUUCCAAAUGAUUUAUCGCCGUAGGAUGGGACUGCAUCCUAUCAGUUUGUUGGUGAGGUAAUGGCCCACCAAGACUAUUACAGGUACGGGCUCUGAGAGGAGUGGCCCGGAGAUGGGUACUGAGACACGGACCCAGGCCCUAUGGGGCGCAGCAGGCGAGAAAACUUUGCAAUGUGCGAAAGCACGACAAGGUUAAUCCGAGUGGUUUCUGCUAAAGGAACCUUUUGUCGGUCCUAGAAACACCGAUGAAUAAGGGGUGGGCAAGUUCUGGUGUCAGCCGCCGCGGUAAAACCAGCACCUCAAGUUGUCAGGAUGAUUAUUGGGCCUAAAGCAUCCGUAGCCGGCUCUGUUAGUUUUCGGUUAAA
rnacentral:rRNA from 1 species